rnacentral:rRNA from 1 species
ACCUGCCGUCUACUCUUGGACAGCCUUCUGAAGGGAAGAUUAAUACAAGAUGGCAUCAUGAGUCCGCAUGUUCACAUGAUUAAAGGUAUUUCGGUAGACGAUGGGGAUGCGUUCCAUUAGAUAGUAGGCGGGGUAACGGCCCACCUAGUCUUCGAUGGAUAGGGGUUCUGAGAGGAAGGUCCCCCACAUUGGAACUGAGACACGGUCCAAACUCCUACGGGAGGCAGCAGUGAGGAAUAUUGGUCAAUGGGCGAGAGUCUGAACCAGCCAAGUAGCGUGAAGGAUGACUGCCCUAUGGGUUGUAAACUUCUUUUAUAAAGGAAUAAAGUCGGGUAUGCAUACCCGUUUGCAUGUACUUUAUGAAUAAGGAUCGGCUAACUCCGUGCCAGCAGCCGCGGUAAUACGGAGGAUCCGAGCGUUAUCCGGAUUUAUUGGGUUUAAAGGGAGCGUAGAUGGAUGUUUAAGUCAGUUGUGAAAGUUUGCGGCUCAACCGUAAAAUUGCAGUUGAUACUGGAUAUCUUGAGUGCAGUUGAGGCAGGCGGAAUUCGUGGUGUAGCGGUGAAAUGCUUAGAUAUCACGAAGAACUCCGAUUGCGAAGGCAGCCUGCUAAGCUGCAACUGACAUUGAGGCUCGAAAGUGUGGGUAUCAAACAGGAUUAGAUACCCUGGUAGUCCACACGGUAAACGAUGAAUACUCGCUGUUUGCGAUAUACAGCAAGCGGCCAAGCGAAAGCGUUAAGUAUUCCACCUGGGGAGUAC